GAGGACGGGGCGGGGCCGAGCGGGUACGCAGGCGCAGUCCCACGCGGCCGCCCUGCCGCGGCUGGAAGACCACGCAGGCGCAGUGCGGGCGGCGGCUGGCAAGGCCGGACGCGGGGGUGGUACGAGUCUGCCUCCCGCGGUUUCUUCGCGGGGCUCGGCGGUUGGGGCGCCUCGGCUCCCAUCCAGCGGCCUCCACGGGGCUUCCGGCUGGCAGCGGUGCUGAGCAGGCAGAAACGAGACGGAUUUGUCCACGUUUGCAAGUCCCCACCUUAAGCACCGAGGACUUGUUCGCCCCGAAUGCUGGCUUAGUCCCGGAGUCGCCGUCGCUGCUCGCCCCUCCUAGGCCCUGGACGGCUGUUUCAAGGUCCGGAUCCAACCUGCUAUCUGCUUUAAUAUUGCUCUGUUGAGAGAGGUUUCUCCAUUUUAAAUAAAAAUGAGUGACAUCUCUGGA